ensembl:lncRNA HCG22 HLA complex group 22 (gene/pseudogene)
UCAUUUUCUCUUGCCGCCACUGUGUAAGAAGUGCCUUUUGUCUCCCUCCGUGAUUCUGAGGCCUCCCCAGCCAUGUGGAACUCCUCUUCUGCCCUGCCCGGCCACUCCUUUGAGUGACAGGGGGUAAUUGAGAAGCUGCUCCUCCCUCCAGGAAGGAAGACCCGGAGCUCUGGCUUCCCUCGGCAAAGCACAUAUAAACCCACAGCCACUGCGGGUGGAAGGAGAAGGGCAGGGUGGAAAAAGUUUGAGAGAAGGAGGGAGGAAAAGGUGUCCUGGCUAGCACCAUGUGGAUUCUCUUGAGAUGAGAAGAAAAUGCCCCGCUACGUCCCCCUUCUGCUGCUCCUGCUUCUCCUGAGGUGUUCAGAACGGGGUGGAGGAGUUAAUUUUGGUGAGAAGGAUGCAAAAGUCCCCGGGACCUGGAGAGAUGGAGUCAGGGUCCCUGGAGAAGGAGCCUCUUGGGACUCAGACAGGGCCAGUCCCGAGCGAAGGUACGGAAUAGUAGGACUAAGCCAAAGCAUUUCCACUAAGCACCCAGAGACCAGCCCUAAAGACUCAAGAAUAAGAGAAAAUGAUGUAACUGCAGAUGGAAGGACCACUGAGGACCACAUCACUGCAGACCCAGGGACCACCGAGGACUCUGUCACUGCAGACCCAGGGACCACUGAGGACAAUGUGACUGUGGACCCAGGGACCACCGAGGGCUCUGUCACUGCAGACCCAGCGACCACCAAGGACUAUGUGUCUGCAGACCCAGGGACCACCAAGGAUUCUGUCACUGCAGACCCAGGGACCACUCACUGAGAACUUUGUCACUGCAGACCCAGGGACCACCAAGGACUCCAUCACUGCAGACCCAAGGACCACAGAGGACUCCGUCACUGCAGACCCAGGGACCACCAAACACUCCAUCACUGUAGACCCAGGGACCACUGAGGACUCUGUCACUGCAGACCCAGGGACCACCAAACACUCCAUCACUGCAGACCCAGGGACCACCGAGGACUCCGUCACUGCAGACCCAGGGACCACAGAAGAUGAAACCACUAAACAUGGUGACACUCACCUUCUGUGAACUACUUCAGUCACAGCAGUGAAACCCACCAGGCUCCUGACACCCAUGGGAAUUAUCCUCAUAUCCCUGGCUGCAACCACAGUCACUGUUGUGCUCUUUGUUGGAUUGGGCUUCAUUGUGAAAGAGUGUUUCCUGCCUCCAUUAAAUCCAUCCACCAGGGUUAUUUAUCAUCCCCAUGUCAUGGACUACAGUACACCAUAAAGAGGACCCCAGCAGUGACUACAGUUGGUUCUAGAAAAAGGAGACCCCUCAUCCGCCUCUGCAAGACUAUACAGCAUGAUGUGUAUCCUCAGGCCUCCACUCCUCCGCCCUAGUCUGGAGCCCUGGGACCACCACAUGAGGAAGGCAGCUGGCCCCUGGAAUAAGCAUGUGGAGGACACUCAGAAGGAUGCCCAUCUGCUCUGAGUGUCUCCUAAUUCUGCCUGACCUUGGUUACUUCCUCUGGACAAUCGCCUUUACCUAUCUACCAGGUUUUGAGGAAUUACACACAGCUCAGGUAUAAGAGAUAUUCGGUAAGUCUGAUCAAAUCAAUAAAGCAAAUUUUAUCUGUUUUUGUCUGGGACAUAUCUCUACAUUCAUUCAUUUAACCAAAAAAAAAAAAAA